rnacentral:lncRNA from 1 species
GGGCGGGGCCUGUCCGCGCGCGCCACCUGAGGAGAGCGGCUGCGGCGGGCGGGGUCGUGAGUUCGUGGCGCGGGAGCCUCUCCUGAGCGAAGGGCCCGUGGGAGGCUCUGCAACUCCUCAGGGCAGCGGUGGGCGGCUAGCUGCAGGCACGCACCUCGCCUUCACCGGGCUCCGCUCAGCUUGUGGUGCGUGUGCAGCUUCCAUCCCUCGUCUUGGCUGUGGAAAGGCCUCCCCUGCCUUCGUGACUCAGUGGAAUGGUGCUUUGUUACCAGUAAAGAAGAACUGGCCACAGGCCAUCUUGGACACGUUGUGGAGAAUAAAAGAACAUUGGAGUGGCCCUUUUCUUUCUAUCCUGCUGUGAACCUCUUCAUAUAUAAGGUCUGAUCCUGUGAUGUCCUGAGCAUGUUCUAGUGGACGUAAGUGAAUUCAACAGCAGUUUAUGUCAAUUCCCAAGAUGACGGGUAAGGGACUUAGCACUUUCUAGGAAAUUCUCUCAUUCUUAGACACUCAAGUUUAUAAUUCCA